UACGUAGGGCGCAAGCGUUGUCCGGAAUUAUUGGGCGUAAAGAGCUCGUAGGCGGUCUGUCGCGUCGACCGUGAAAACUUGGGGCUUAACCCUGAGCUUGCGGUCGAUACGGGCAUGACUGGAGUUCGGCAGGGGAGACUGGAAUUCCUGGUGUAGCGGUGAAAUGCGCAGAUAUCAGGAGGAACACCGGUGGCGAAGGCGGGUCUCUGGGCCGAUACUGACGCUGAGGAGCGAAAGCGUGGGGAGCGAACAGG
rnacentral:rRNA from 1 species